ncrna:unclassified sequences GA-cis RNA
UUGAGGAGCCGCUUAUCGUCUGCGCAGCAGACGAUUCUUAUAGCGGCGACGACUUGCCGUCGAGGCGUAGCCGAGGGGGCGUUUCCUUGU